UCUCACUGAAUCUGGAGCCCACUAAUUGGC
rnacentral:piRNA from 2 species